rnacentral:rRNA from 1 species
GACGAACGCUGGCGGCGUGCCUAAUACAUGCAAGUCGAACGCAGUGGGGACGGGUGAGUAACACGUGGGUAACCUCCCAUCAGAGGGGAUAACAGUUGGAAACAGGUGCUAAACCGGUACUGAAGGAUGGACCCGCGGUGCAUUAGCUAGUUGGUGAGGUAACGGCUCACCAAGGCCACGAUGCAUAGCUGGCCUGAGAGGGGGAGCGGCCACACUGGGACUGAGACACGGCCCAGACUCCUACGGGAGGCAGCAGUAGGGAAUCUUCGGCAAUGGACGAAAGUCUGACCGAGCAACGCCGCGUGAGUGAAGAAGGUUUUCGGAUCGUAAAACUCUGUUGUUAGAGAAGCGGUAUCUAACCAGAAAGCAACGGCUAACUCCGUGCCAGCAGCCGCGGUAAUUC